AUUGACCGCUGGCGGCAGGCCUAACACAUGCAAGUCGAGCGGAGCGGCGGACGGGUGAGUAAUGCCUAGGAAUCUACCUGGUAGUGGGGGAUAACGUCCGGCAACGGGCGCUAAUAGCGCAUCCUAUCAGAUGAGCCUAGGUCGGAUUAGCUAGUUGGUGUGGUAAAGGACUACCAAGGCGACGAUCCUUAACUGUUCUGAGAGGAGGAUCAGUCACACGUGAACUGUGACACGGUCCAGCCGCCCACGGGAUGCAGCAGGGGGUAAUAUGGGACAAUGGGCGAAAGGCGGAUCCAGCCAUGCCGCGUGUGUGAAGAAGGUCUUCGGAUUGUAGAGCACUAUAAGUUGGUAGGCGUUACCAACAGAAUAAGCACCGGCUAACUUCGUGCCAGCAGCCGCGGUAAUUC
rnacentral:rRNA from 1 species